rnacentral:lncRNA from 1 species
AUUUAUGCUGUGAAGUGGUGAGGGGGUGACAUGCAUGUGUGGAAAAUACCCUAUAUUGGCCAAAACAAGAUGUAACAUUGUUUUUUUUACAUUAUAAAAUAUUCAAGCAUAUGUAUGUCAGAUUUUAUCAGUGACAUAUAUUAUGUUUUUAGAACAACAAUUUGACCUUUAUUUUUGAGUAAUCUGAUCUCUCCUCAUUUAUAGAGAUGGAAGUCUGGUCUUGUUGGUGGUGUUGCAAAGAUGGCCGCCAAGUGUGCUAGAGGCAGCUCACAAGAGACUGACAGGGGUUGUCUUAUCUGACAGUUUGUGGGUUGGAAGAAACUCCAGUUACCCAAAGGAACGCAGUGUGGUAACUCUACACUAUCUGCUUGUCAUUUAGAUACCACUCUAAUGGCGAGGCGGAAGACAGCAGGAGCAUACAUUUUGCAAGCCUUGAGAGGACGCUCUUGAGGAGAACGGAAAACAAAAUGAAUUUGCCUGUCUUAAGAAGCAGAGUCUCAGGUAACUGUCACAUCUCAAGCAGCGGCAGCCGGAGGG